rnacentral:misc_RNA from 1 species
UCCGGUUUGUCACCGGCAGUCUGGCGUGAGUCCCCAACUUAAUGCUGGCAACACGCCACGGGGGUUGCGCUCGUUGCGGGACUUAACCCAACAUCUCACGACACGAGCUGACGACAGCCAUGCACCACCUGUGACAGUGCCCCGAAGGGAGACCGUGUUUCCACGGCUGUCACUGCCAUGUCAAGCCCGGGUAAGGUUCUUCGCGUUGCGUCGAAUUAAACCACAUGCUCCGCUGCUUGUGCGGGCCCCCGUCAAUUCUUUUGAGUUUUAGCCUUGCGGCCGUACUCCCCAGGCGGAACACUUAUCGCGUUGGCUGCGGCACGGAGGGAUUCGACUCCCCCCACACCUAGUGUUCAUCGUUUACGGCAUGGACCAC